rnacentral:lncRNA from 1 species
CAGAGCUUCUCAGUGUACGUUUGGAUUCCCUUGAGGUUCUCAUGGUGUACAACUUGAGUCACAAGAAGAAUAACAGAAGGCCACACUACCUGAGUGCACAGCCCAGGACUGAGUGUGCUGAGAUGAGUGUUGGUGGUGUGAUUCUCUGACAUUUAAUGCAUCCACUCUGAGAUGAAGAACAUGAGAACAAGAAAACCACAGAGCUCGAAAGUUUGGUGCACGCACGACUCAUAUCCUCUUGGAUGAGUCUUUUUACUUCCCUGAAUCUCAGUUUCCAGAUGUGUUGCCCUGAAAUAACACCUGACUUCCAGAAC